rnacentral:misc_RNA from 1 species
UACAAUUCUGAUCUGUUUAGGACCCUAAGAACUGUGCGCACCCCUUGCUAAAUCCUCUGCUCAUGUAUAUGGAACACUAGUAGAUAGGGUAAUUUGCUACAAUGAUUGAAUUAGUGGGCUCACAAGACAAAUGGUCUCCUAAAAUCAUCUUUUGCACCAUCGUAAAAAGUAUUCACUACCAUCUGCAUAAGCAUGAUGAUCACUU